rnacentral:rRNA from 1 species
AGUGAAGCGGCAAGAGCUCAGAUUUGAAAUCGUGCUUUGCGGCACGAGUUGUAGAUUGCAGGUUGGAGUCUGUGUGGAAGGCGGUGUCCAAGUCCCUUGGAACAGGGCGCCCAGGAGGGUGAGAGCCCCGUGGGAUGCCGGCGGAAGCAGUGAGGCCCUUCUGACGAGUCGAGUUGUUUGGGAAUGCAGCUCCAAGCGGGUGGUAAAUUCCAUCUAAGGCUAAAUACUGGCGAGAGACCGAUAGCGAACAAGUACUGUGAAGGAAAGAUGAAAAGCACUUUGAAAAGAGAGUGAAACAGCACGUGAAAUUGUUGAAAGGGAAGGGUAUUGCGCCCGACAUGGGGAUUGCGCACCGCUGCCUCUCGUGGGCGGCGCUCUGGGCUUUCCCUGGGCCAGCAUCGGUUCUUGCUGCAGGAGAAGGGGUUCUGGAACGUGGCUCUUCGGAGUGUUAUAGCCAGGGCCAGAUGCUGCGUGCGGGGACCGAGGACUGCGGCCG